GCCCAGGUGGUGAAACUGGUAAACACGCUAGCCCCAGGAGCUAGUGCCAGCAAUGGCUUGCGAGUUCGAGUCUCGCUCUGGGCA
rnacentral:tRNA from 1 species